GGGCGGUGACGACAAACAACAUUUCUCGAUUCUGAAAAUGUUUAUCUUGAUAAACAUGGACCUUAUAUACUUGAUGACAGAGUUUAUGCGUGUCUGAGCCUC